CCUACGGGUGGCUGCAGUGGGGAAUAUUGGACAAUGGGCGAAAGCCUGAUCCAGCCAUGCCGCGUGUGUGAAGAAGGCCUUCGGGUUGUAAAGCACUUUCAGUGGGGAAGAAAGCCUUGGGGCUAAUACCCUCGAGGAAGGACAUCACCCACAGAAGAAGCACCGGCUAACUCCGUGCCAGCAGCCGCGGUAAUACGGAGGGUGCGGGCGUUAAUCGGAAUUACUGGGCGUAAAGCGCGCGUAGGCGGUCUGAUAAGCCGGUUGUGAAAGCCCCGGGCUCAACCUGGGAACGGCAUCCGGAACUGUCAGGCUAGAGUGCAGGAGAGGAAGGUAGAAUUCCCGGUGUAGCGGUGAAAUGCGUAGAGAUCGGGAGGAAUACCAGUGGCGAAGGCGGCCUUCUGGACUGACACUGACGCUGAGGUGCGAAAGCGUGGGUAGCAAACAGGAUUAGAUACCCCGGUAGUC
rnacentral:rRNA from 1 species